UAGGGAAUCUUCGGCAAUGGACGAAAGUCUGACCGAGCAACGCCGCGUGAGUGAAGAAGGUUUUCGGAUCGUAAAACUCUGUUGUUAGAGAAGAACAAGGACGUUAGUAACUGAACGUCCCCUGACGGUAUCUAACCUGAAAGCCACGGCUAACUACGUGCCAGCAGCCGCGGUAAUACGUAGGUGGCAAGCGUUGUCCGGAUUUAUUGGGCGUAAAGCGAGCGCAGGCGGUUUCUUAAGUCUGAUGUGAAAGCCCCCGGCUCAACCGGGGAGGGUCAUUGGAAACUGGGAGACUUGAGUGCAGAAGAGGAGAGUGGAAUUCCAUGUGGAGCGGUGAAAUGCGUAGAUAUAUGGAGGAACACCAGUGGCGAAGGCGGCUCUCUGGUCUGUAACUGACGCUGAGGCUCGAAAGCGUGGGGAGCAAACAGG
rnacentral:rRNA from 1 species